rnacentral:lncRNA from 1 species
CGCCCAGGCUGGGGUGCAGUGGUGUGACCUCGGGUCACUGCUCAGGUGAUCCACCCGCCUUGACCUCCCAAAGUGCUGGGAUUACAGGUGUGAGCCACUGUGCCUGGCCUGUCACAUAGUAUUUCUGAGAGUUAUAAAUCAUGAAAAGGAUCCUAUUUACCCCAACCCCUGCCUUGAUGUUCAUGACAUCUUGUGAUUAGGCACUAGGCAAUGGUAGGUGAGCAGAUAUGGUGUAACUGACUCUUGGAUUAAUGGAAGAAGUGUGGUCUCCCUCUCUCCUCUUCUUCUUCAUCCCAGGCUAGAAUGUUGAUGUUGCUGGAAGCCUGCAGAAUCACAAGGAUGAGGGCACUUCUCUAGGGAUUAGGGAGCAGCAACAUGGAAGGGCUCCUGGUGUCUGAUGCCUGGAACCUCCGACCCAACCCAGGUCUAGUAAACUUUGUUACAGAAGUCAUUGUUACUACGGGACUUUUUUAAAGCAGCCACACUUAUACUCUGACCAAUAAGCAAAAAGUUUUUUCUUUUUCAAUUACAUUCCAUUUUCAGGGAAUUUUUGAUGAAUAUGGAAGAUUAUUUCAUAAAAGUGACACUAGAGAAAGAAAGUGCAAACAGGAAAAAAAGUAACUGAUGGAGAUGUGAUGAAAAAAAUGGUUUAAUAACAUUUAGAUAGAGAAAACCCCAGGAAUAAAGGGAGGUUUGAGGGAUCAUCUCAUUGGCCCUGGAUAUUUUUUCCCCACCCUUUUCCAUUCUGUUUGACAUCUGAAGAGGGAUGCCUACCUCAUCAGUGGUAUUCUUUUCGUUCUGCUUUCUGGUUGAAUUGAGCCACUGGGAGAUCCCAGCAGGAGGAGAGUCAUUUCGGAUUUUCACUUCCUGGCUCUCUGCCUAUGUGGCUGUGUGUUGGUGAUGCAGAGCUCCUCCACCUGCCUGGUCGUCCUCUCCCGCCCCUACAGCUAGCUACAGGUAAAGCUAUGAUUUCAAUGAUAACUCCUCCUUCCCUGUCCCUUUAAACCUAGGAGAGGAAGCAGUGCUCCACUAUUGCUGCUUAGGGUGCUGCCCCAGGCAUUGUCUCUUUCCUUUAAUUCUGCCCAUCUUAGUAAAUAGCUCCCUCAUGAAACACUCCUCAAUUAUUUCAGUUAGGACUAUUUGUUUCUUCCUGCACCUUUCCAAAUAUACAAAGGAGAAUAACUUUGAAAAGCAAGUAAUGCAAUAAAACCUGGGUGUACAGCAGUUCAGCUCUGGGAAGCAAUGCCUGUAUGUUAUCCUAGUCCUUGAAUGUAAGAGGCAGCUUCUUUCCAUGAAAGCAGAUUUGAAUGGUUGGAAUAAAGGGAGUGAUACAGGGAGAUGGAUCUGAAGAGAGAAAGGUCCGCUUGACUCUGUUUGGAACUGCCAUAGUUUAGGCUGCCAGUACUCAGCCUCCAGAAGGAGGGCUCAUGUCUCCUGCCUUUUCCUGAGGGAGGCACCAUCACCCACUGCAUGUAGCACUCCAAGGUAUAAGCACAGGGAUAUAAAACUGGAGCAAAAGUUAUAACUGGAAAUCAGACAGUUUUUGGUAUAUAUCCUUAUCUUUCCUCCAUUCUUUUGUCCAGAGGUAGAGAGUUGUCUGGUGCUGAAUGGGGACAGCCUUCCUUGGACUGAGUGAUGCCUGAGGAUUUUUCUUGUUUUUCCUUUUUCUUUAAUGAAAUUAU